rnacentral:lncRNA from 10 species
AGAAGACAGCAAGAGGACGACAAAGGUGGCGAGAUGAUGGGAGUGGGAUUCCAGCGGUGGGACGACAAGCUGCAGAGCAGUCCUUUUUUGCUGAGAACUUCAGAGACCUGCAGAGAGGUCAGAAUGACUUUCUUGCAGAGAUGAGUCACUUUCUCCAGGGAGGUCUCUUUGCUAAGACGCUGAACACUGGACUGGAUGACCGGCCUACAGAGAGGAACUACCCAUUUCUGUGAGUCGUUCUAACAUUAAAACUCAUGUUCUUCACCCUUCACUUGUCUGCUUUUGUCAUUCUUCCUGGAUGCAGGACAAGAACUCCUCUAACAAUGGUGUGGGGAUGGGGAUCCAUUUCUGCAUAUAUAGAACUUAAUUCUCCACUUCCCAGGAACUUAUCUUCCAAUCCUCCAUUAACUUACAGCUUGUGAAUCCAGGAGCCCUCAGGGUUGAGCAAGGCUGGCUGGCACUCUCCAGUGGCCUAGCAACAGUGCUUCUGAAACCUGUGAACCUCUUCUACCUCCUGUCUUCUUGAGUUUAAAUUCUCUUGCUUGAGUUUAAAUUCUCUUUUCUGCCAAUGCCUUCGCAUAUCUCCUUGUUGCUUUGCUAUCAUUUACGUGAAGUGUAGAGGUGGGGGGAGACAUAAAUAUAUG